UUUUCCUCUUGAACCAGAAGAGAAAAUGCACGUGCCAUAGACGGCAAAUGAUUCAGCAUAAGUAUGCUCCCUCGAACAACCAUAUAAAAUUCAUUGAGUCCCAUUAUAAAUUGUAUCAAUAUUUUGUCUUGUUCUUCAUUAUGCAUACUUUCCUUCGCCCCACAACACAUACACAACUACAAUGAGUUUUGUUGUUGAGAGUGUUAAAUUAUUCCUAAAGUUUCUACAUUUUCGGGUAGUAGCCAGUGAUAACAAGCAACAUCUUUUGGUACAAAAUAAUCCCACUGUUGUAUCACCUGAACCAAUGGAGAAGUCAACAGUACCAAAUUAUUUUGAUUCUUCAAAAUCUCCUGGUCUACAAGAUUGUAAUGAAUUGGUUAAACCAGC
rnacentral:lncRNA from 1 species